rnacentral:rRNA from 1 species
GCGGGAAAGUAGCUUGCUACUUUUGCCGGCGAGCGGCGGACGGUUGAGUAAUGCCUGGGGAUCUGCCCAGUCGAGGGGGAUAACUACUGGAAACGGUAGCUAAUACCGCAUACGCCCUACGGGGGAAAGCAGGGGACCUUCGGGCCUUGCGCGAUUGGAUGAACCCAGGUGGGAUUAGCUAGUUGGUGAGGUAAUGGCUCACCAAGGCGACGAUCCCUAGCUGGUCUGAGAGGAUGAUCAGCCUACACUGGAACUGAGACACSGUCCAGACUCCUACGGGAGGCAGCAGUGGGGAAUAUUGCACAGAUGGGGGAAACCCUGAUGCAUCCAUCUCGCGUGUGUGAAGACAGAGCCUUCGGGUUGUAAAGCACUUUCAGCGAGGAGGAAAGGUUGGUAGCUAAUAACUGCCAGCUGCUGACGUACUCGCAGAAGAGCUCUAGCCCCCCAG